ACUGAACGCUGGCGGCAGGCCUAACACAUGCAAGUCGAGCGCGAAAGUUCUUCGGAAUGAGUAAAGCGGCGGACGGGUGAGGUAAUACAUGGGAAUCUGCCUGGUAGUGGGGGACAACGUUUCGAAAGGAACGCUAAUACCGCAUACGCCCUAUGGGGGAAAGGGGGGGAUCUUCGGACCUCUCGCUAUCAGAUGAGCCC
rnacentral:rRNA from 1 species